UGGCAAGUUUUCUCUUUAUAAAUUGCUUCAGUGAUCUUAAAUUUCUGUUUUCUAUUAGCAAACGAAAGUUGAGCACUUCCCUGAACAAACAGCAAGCAGGCUAGAAAUCAGUAACUAAGUUUGCCCAAUACUAAAUAAGUUAAACAAGCAAAUGGGAAAGGAGGGGGAGGGGAGAAUGUAGGGUAACUUCAUUCCCAGGGUAAAAGUACAAGAAAGUCAUUCCAGGAAUGGAUUUGGGUAUUUUGACCUGGUGACAUUUUAUAUAUGUGCCAGGAUAUGUAGACCACACAUGUUAGCCCUAGGGAGUCAUAUGAAACCCACCUGUCUGAAAAACAAAAGCUGAAGAAGCAAGGUAGCUGUCUCACUGGUGACUAAAAAAAGGAGAAAUCAAAGAAUUGAUUAUCAUGCCUGGAAGACAGAAGAGGGAAGCCAAAUGGAGAGGAUCUGAGACCUACUUAAAUUUAAGGAACAUUGACCCAUCUUUAAUAAGGAAAAAGGAAGAAGGGUUUGCCUGAAUUCCAGUCAGGUAACUAAAGGAAGACAACUACAGUAGAGAUAUUCAUGAUGAGGGCACAGCAUUAUUAAAAAGAAUAAUUUGAAUAAAAUGUUAUUGGAAUUUUAA